GAUGAACGCUGGCGGCGUGCCUAAUACAUGCAAGUCGAGCGAACAGACGAGGAGCUUGCUCCUCUGACGUUAGCGGCGGACGGGUGAGUAACACGUGGAUAACCUACCUAUAAGACUGGGAUAACUUCGGGAAACCGAAGCUAAUACCGGAUAAUAUAUUGAACCGCAUGGUUCAAUAGUGAAAGACGGUUUUGCUGUCACUUAUAGAUGGAUCCGCGCCGCAUUAGCUAGUUGGUAAGGUAACGGCUUACCAAGGCAACGAUGCGUAGCCGACCUGAGAGGGUGAUCGGCCACACUGGAACUGAGACACGGUCCAGACUCCUACGGGAGGCAGCAGUAGGGAAUCUUCCGCAAUGGGCGAAAGCCUGACGGAGCAACGCCGCGUGAGUGAUGAAGGUCUUCGGAUCGUAAAACUCUGUUAUUAGGGAAGAACAAAUGUGUAAGUAACUAUGCACGUCUUGACGGUACCUAAUCAGAAAGCCACGGCUAACUACGU
rnacentral:rRNA from 1 species